UACAGAGGGUGCAAGCGUUAAUCGGAAUUACUGGGCGUAAAGCGUGCGUAGACGGUUAUGUAAGUUAGGUGUGAAAGCCCCGGGCUCAACCUGGGAAUUGCAUUUAAGACUGCAUAGCUAGGGUGCGGAAGAGGGAAGCGGAAUUUCCGGUGUAGCGGUGAAAUGCGUAGAUAUCGGAAAGGAACAUCAGUGGCGAAAGCGGCUUCCUGGUCCAGCACCGACGUCAGGCACGAAAGCGUGGGGAGCAAACAGG
rnacentral:rRNA from 1 species